ensembl:lncRNA
AAAAGCUCACAUAGAGUUGUUUGUCUGCAGUAAUAUUUAAAUCCUUCCAGAUCACUGUUUUCGAGAAUAUACAUGCUCAUAGAUGACAUAGUGGUUUCUUUUUUUACACCUAUAUGAGUCCUUUCCUCUCUUUUGUUUUCUUUUCCUUUAAACAUUUUUGUUGCUAACAUCCAUUCUUGUCAAGUGAUGUAUAGCUGUUGAUCAAUGUCUACAGAUACAAUGUACCAUUACUGUAUUAAUAUGAUAUAUUUUAUUAGAAUUUCAUGCAGUCAUAAGCCUUGCACCGUGCAGUGAAUAUCAGCAUAGUGAGGUGGUGGGUGCUGAGUUUCAGCAGUGUUGACAGUGACAGUCAUUUACCUCUGCUGGUGCAGCUUCUGAUGAGCAUGGUAUGCAGGCUGUUUGUUCAUCGCUGGAAUUUUUCUAUUUUAGAUAAUAUGUAUUACUGGAAGAGAACUGGAAAUCACAUCAAAUAGGAAUGUGUGUUGCACAGCACUACAGAACACUGAAAAGAUAGAUAUAUUUCAGUGGAGUGACAGAGGGAAGAAAUUAAUUUAAAAAAAAAAUCACUACUUUGAGAAUGUGUAAGUGGAAAUAUGCCCACUGGGCUCUUGUAUAUUAAUACAGACUUUAAAAUCCCUACAAUACCAAAAUUAAAAGGGGGAGCUGUUCUCUGUGUGAGCUAUAGCUGGUCAAACAGAUGGAAGACAACUGAGUUCUUUACCAGGCACCUGCCAGGCUAUAAAUGACAUCAGAAAGUCUGGACUGAACCUUAAUCAGACAUCUGUGUCUCUGAAUUUAUAUCUGCCAUACAGCAAGAUUGCACAUACUGGAACAACCCAAGCCUCCACUUGGACACAUACCUGGUCAUCACUGCAGUACUAUUCACUGUGCCUGAGCUUCAGAGAACGAUUAAAUGACAUUAUACACCCACCACUAAGUGCUCAUGGCAGGAUGGAAAAUUUUUGACUAGUUCAUGGAACAUGACUACUAUAAGUGAAACAGAUUUGGUAGAAUAGUUUCAAUUACAUACCUAAAGAAAGGUUCUGGACUGAAUACAUACAACCUUAUCAAAUGCAGUUUGCUGAGUCUGAAAGCAGCUGUAAAUUCAGUGGAACUAAGAAUUGCAAACCAUGUAAUUUAAAAAUGUUCAUCAUCCAGUACACCCUGCAGAUUACAGACAAGGCCUUUUUAUUUAAACUAGUAACUCAGAUGACUCAAAGUGGUGGCUAAUCACAAAGGGUGAAACAAUCAUUGUUACCUAUUGCUUUAAAAGCCCCAUGCUUUUGCAGUGGUGCGAGGCUGAAAGUUGAAUAGUUCUCAUUGUAUUUACUCCUAGGGCUCGUAAAUUUUUACUAUUGUAAAUGGGGCGAAGACAGAAAUAGACAUGAUGAAAGAAAAAAAUGUGCAAAACUUGCCAAGCUCUCUCCCAUGCUCACAGUCCUUCUUGGCUUAUUCUGAAACAUAAGCCUUGUAAAAUGGAAAGGAGACCCUUAGGAUCUCCAAAUCCAGAAAAUUAACAGCCUGAACCUCCCCUCUGAUAUGGAAAGAUGUAAGAAGUUCCUGCAAGCUGUACCCUAAUGCAGUGAGCAAUGGGAAUGUGGGAGGUAAAGGAAAGAGCAAAAGGAGAAAGAAGCUCCUCCUGAGGCUUCCAAAUGGGAAAUUUUCUAGUAGAAUCACUGUAUUCAUCUGGAGGAAAAAAAGGCACUAGAGAUCUUCUGCAGAUGUCUUUCAAAUGCUGCCUUUGUUUUGAUUCCAGCAAGGAAGCUAAAUUGAAGAUGAUUAGGGACAAGUGAACUAGGGUUUUCUGGCUUCAUGAGUGGAGAGAAGUCCAAAGAAAUUACAUAACUCAACAGUACUUUUUUUAAGGCCUAAAUGAAAGCUACCAGUUCAGCUGAAAUGCUGGGGAACACAACUGUGCUGCAUUUAGAAGCAUAGUCAGCGGAUUGAGUUCCUCACCUUCAGUUAUUCUUGAAAGGCUGUAAGUAAUUUCACAGUGACAAAGAAGUGUUUUUUCAUAGAUGUACUUUUGAGUUUGUUAAGUAUUCUAAAAUGUUGUGAUCUCAAAAGAGCUGCUUCAGAAGUCUUUGCUUCUAGGUGUGGCAAAAGCAGUUUCUUUGGGAAGGGAAAUGAAGAGAAGGCAGAAAAGGUUUCUUAGCUCUGCACUGAAUUCAAUCACACUUGCUGCUUAUGAAAACCAAAAAUAUGUUUCUAGUGUUCCAUGGUAUUCAGUGUAAUCAUAUGUAAUUAAUCAACCGAUGGUAUUAAAACAAAAUAAAAAUCUUUUC